rnacentral:rRNA from 1 species
CCUACGGGAGGCAGCAGUGGGGAAUAUUGCACAAUGGGGGAAACCCUGAUGCAGCGACGCCGCGUGAGCGAGGAAGUAUUUCGGUAUGUAAAGCUCUAUCAGCCGGGAUGAAAAAAGACGGUACCUAAUUAAUAUGCCCCGACUAACUACGUGCCAGCAGCCGCGGUAAUACGUAGGGGGAAAGCGUUAUCCGGAUUUACUGGGUGUAAAGGGAGCGUAGACGGUAGCGCAAGUCUGAGGUGAAAUGCCGGGGCUCAACCCCGGAACUGCUUUGGAAACUGUGCAGCUAGAGUGCAGGAGAGGUAAGUGGAAUUCCAAGUGUAGCGGUGAAAUGCGUAGAUAUUAGGAGGAACACCAGUGGCGAAGGCGGCUUACUGGACUGUAACUGACGCUGAGGCUCGAAAGCGUGGGGAGCAAACAGGAUUAGAUACCCGUGUAGUC